ACAUAUAUAGUUGAACAGAAACUUUAGAUUGUGACUCUAAAUAUAGGAGUUUGAACCUCCUUAUAUGCC
rnacentral:tRNA from 1 species